AAUUAGAUCACUAAGAAUUACAAACUGAUUUUAACCAAAAACAAAUACUCAAUCAAAUAAUUCGGAGCAAGUAUCCCCAAUGGUUGUCAAGCAAUGACAAGCCCCAAACCUAAUGAUCACCCCACACGAUGAUCUGCUAGUGCAGAAAUAUAAAGAUUUCAGCCAAUUUACUAGAGCGAACCUAUCUGAAUCCGUAACGUGGAGAGAUGCGAAUUUACUGCUUUAGGGCCACCACUAUUCGCCCUAAAGAUUCAGCAAAUAUAGCAAUUCUGAUCAGCAACAAAUGCAUAUUGAAGGUAGGGGCAAAAUCGUCCAAUCUUUUCUACUCAACCUGAAACACUAAACCAGACACAUUAAUACGUUCAGGAAAUUAAAAUGAGUGAAAUGGCACGAAAAAACCACGCAGGAGGUCCUCCACGGGCUGCUAUCGGACCACCACGCGCCUCACCACCGGAGGCGCCUCCACCUGUUGGUUAUAGGUCCGGCCUCCAUUUGUCCAACGGAGGUCGCGUUUGGUUGGAAUAAGCAAUUGCAGUUUCGGUCCCUUUGAAGAAAUCGCGAAACCCGCCGCCGUUUUGGUCGAUUUCUGGCCGAAGAAGAUGACCGAUCGCUCUGAUACCAGUUGUAUGGUCAAAUUCUAGCAAUAACCAAGGUAUAAUCGAGCUCAGUUUCCACAAUAUAUCGACACAACCACGAUUGAGACAACACCCAACUUCACC
rnacentral:lncRNA from 1 species